rnacentral:lncRNA from 1 species
AGCCAGUCAGUCACAGGGCAUCCAGCAGCUGCUGCAGGUUGAGAAGCAGGCCGUUGAGAAGGUGUCAGAGGCCUGCAGCCAAAAGAACCAGAGGCUGAAGCAGGCCAAAGUGGCAGUUCAGGCUGAAAUUGAAUAGUGCCACCUGCAGAGGGAGAAAGAGUUCAAGGCCAAGGAAGCUGUGGCACUGGGACCCCAAGGCAGCUGCAGCACGGAAGUGGAGGAGACCCAGGAUAAAAUGACCAUCCUCCAGACCUACUUUCAGCGGAACAGGGAAGAGGGUGUGGAUAACCUCUUGGCCUUUGCGGCAUCCAGCCAGAAAUUCAUGAAAACUACGGCAUAAAUGGAU